CAGCCGCCGCGGUAAUACCGGCGGCCCGAGUGGCGGUCACUAUUAUUGGGCUUAAAGCGUCCGUAGCCGGGUUGGGAAAUCCUCCGGGAAAUCUGGCCGCUUAACGGUCAGAAUGCCGGAGGAUACUCCCAGCCUAGGGAGCGGGAGAGGCCGAGGGUAUUCCCGGAGUAGGGGUGAAAUCCUAUAAUCCCCGGAGGACCACCUGUGGCGAAGGCGCUCGGCUGGAACGCGUCCGACGGUGAGGGACGAAGGCCAGGGGAGCAAACCGGAUUAGAUACCCGGGUAGUCCUGGCUGUAAACGAUGCGGACUUUGUGUCGGACAAGCUAUGAGCUUGUCCGGUGCCGGAGGGAAACCGUUAAGUCCGCCGCCUGGGGAGUACGGCCGCAAGGCUGAAACUUAAAGGAAUUGGCGGG
rnacentral:rRNA from 1 species